rnacentral:lncRNA from 1 species
CAUUCAUUCAUUCAUUCAUUCAUUCAUUCAUUCAUUCUUCAGCAAAUGAUUGCUGAGAGCCUACCGUGUGGUGGCUGUUUUGCUCCGAGAGUAGACACACCGUCUGUGGUGGAUUUGUAUUGACGGACACUGUGGUAAACUGAGGCUGCACAGGAAGCCAAGAGAGGCUGAUUUGCAUAUUAAAAAGAUUGCCCAGCUGCUGGGUGAAGACUGCCUUUUAAAGGCGCAAAAAAUAGAAAUAGGAAGACCAGCUAGGGAGGGAGCGGCUCAGCAACGCAGACAGGAAAUAAUCACUGUUAUUAUCUGCAGUCCUCCAGAGGAGCUCACAGCAGGUGCCAGGACCCGAGACCCUCUGACAACUACAUGCCAGGCGAUCAGGCUGGGGAGAUGCCAAGGCUGAGCUGAACCAGCUGCUCUUCAGUGUGUUUCUGUGGGGUCUCUCCAUGGCCUGGGGUCGCCUCACAGCAUCGGAGCUCCAGGAAGUUUUGCCUCAACCACAUGAAUCAGAGCUACUGAGACAGCAGAAGCCACUUGGCUUUUAGGUCCCACCUGAAGGCAUCUCUACCUGUCGCUGCUGCAGCACAGCAUAGCACAGUACACACUGGUGUGUGUGCACCCACAUCAGGUGGCUUCCAGGGCCCUGCCACACACUGGAAGGAACGUCAGUGUUCACAGUCUAGUGAAAACCAUGGGAAGGUUUAAUGAAACCAGGAAAUAAAACCUAUGUUGGAUGAGAUGGCUCAGCGGUUAAGAGCACUGACUGCUCUUCCGAAGGUCCUGAGUUCGAAUCCCAGCAACCACAUGGUGGCUCACAAUCAUCCGUAAUGAGAUCUGACGCCCUCUUCUGGUGUGUCUGAAGACAGCUACAGUGUACUUGCAUAUAAUAAAUAAAUAAAUCUUAAAAAAAAAAAAGAAAAAAGAAAAAAGGCUCGUGUUGGAUAGUUUAUAGCUCUAAACCAGGGCCAGCAGCAAUGUCUUUUGACAAGAAAUGAAUUUGAGCACAGAAUUGUGCUGUGACAUAAUCAAUAAAAUGUUAAUUGUUUAGCCCAGGGACCAGAGCACAGAAGUAUUUGCUAUUACUUGGAGGGGACAAUGUGAGCAAGGCUGUUGUGAAGACAAAGGAUGACAGCAGUCGAGAUGCCUGACCAAAGAGCAUCUGCGCAGAUGUUUUCCGGAAGGUUCAUCUUGGUCAGGUUUCAAAGGAGGAAAGGAAAAUAUUUACUUUGCAUGAUACUGCUUUUAAAUGGAUCUCUUCUUAUCAAGACAUCUCAGCAUGAGGCAUAAACAUCUCCUGUGGCUUUAGAUGACUCUAGAGCUGGAGUCUGGAGCUGAGAGGGACAUCAUUCUCAGGACCUGCCUCUGCUCACCCUGUCUACCCAACUCCCAGACAGCACAAGCCAGAUUCCUAAGGACAACUUGCCUCUGCCAUGAUGCCCAUAGAGAACUAAGUGUCUCACGGCACCGGGUCCAGGACACAGCAACAACAAUGGCCCUGAACAUGAGCUGUGGUCAGACCUUCCAAGAAAACAGCAGAAACGAGGAACGGCAGCCAAGUUUCCCGUGCAGGCCAGUUCCAGUUGGCAAGAUGCUGAAGUACCCCCCCCCCCAAUGUAUUGGGGAGAAGGCUCCACGUGGCAGACAGUGAAGCAGAGGUCUCCUCUGCAGCUGCCCUCUCACAGGCUGCUGGGCCCCAACCCCGCAAGCAAAGCUGGCAGAAGAUGGCUGCCAACAAGCUUCACUGCAAAGAGAAUCGCCGUGAAGGCAUGUUUGGAGGCAGAGAAUAUUAUUCAAGGCAGUAAGAAUAUACAGAAGCUGGAGAGAUGGCUCAGCGGUUAAGAGCACUGACUACUCUUCCAAAGGUCCUGAGUUCAAAUCCCAGCAACUACAUGGUGGCUCACAAUCAUCUAUAAUGAGAUCUGAUGCCCUCUUCUGGGAUGUCUGAAGAAAGCUACAGUGUACUUACAUAUAAUAAAUAAAUUAAUUAAAAAAAAAAAAGAAUAUGCAGAAGGACCAGGCAGUGGUGGCGCAUGCUUUAGUCCCAGCACUUGAGAGACAGAGGCAGGCAGAUUUUUGAGUUCGAGGCCAGCCUGGUCUACAAAGUGAGUUCCAGGAUAGCCAGGACUAUACAGAGAAACCCUGUCUCAAAAACAAAAACAAAAACAAAAAACACACCAAAAAACAAAACAAGACAAACUAAAAAAAGAAUAUGCAGAAGGACAAAGAACAUCAGAGGAGUUCCUAUAAUUGUGGGCACACCCCAUAGGCCACACCCUCCAUAGGCCACACACCCAUAGGCCACACCUCUCAGAGGACAGUCAGUAGUGCUGAGUGAAGGUGUUCAGCAAGGCUCAGCACUCUUUAGCACAGGUACACAAAAGCUGAUGUUAGGGACAUGUGAUGUCGAGUGGAAUUCCUAACUCUUAGGAGAAAGACCGGAGAGUUCUAGCCAUUAGGGAGAAAGCAAUGACCACUGCGAAGACAGCACGCUUUCCUAUUACUUAGGUUUUUUACUUCUCUCGGUAGUGCUGCUCUUUAGUUCUGUGUAUGAAUUUUGUACAUCUUGGGGCCGAAACCAUAGCAGGGUGAGCGGAAGAGUAGUAUAUUGAUCCCAAACAUGCAGCAGGAAGCAUCGAACCUUCUUUGCCUGUAGGCGAAAUGUUAUUGUGCCCUCUGUAAAGAUUAUCCUUGUAUUAUUCAAAUGCUGAUUUCUGUGCCCUCCCAUAUCUGGUUGCAAUCCUUACUCUUAGAAUUUCUUGUCUCAGUGUUGUGUAAACAUUGCUCCCCAGUUAUUCCAUGAAUGGUCAAUAAAGCUAGCUGAUCACCCCAUGGCUGAACAGGGAAGAAAAUAGGGCUGGGCUUCCUCCCAUCCAGGGAAGAGAGGAGAGAGGGAGGGAGGGAGAGAGAGAGAGAGAGGACGAGGAGGAGGUGGGGAUUUGCCACCAGGGGAGAGUCUGGAAGAUGCCAUGGAAAAACACCUGGAGCAAAGAAAGCCAUGAAAUGCUAUUAUUUCAGGGAUUUUUGGCUGGGAGGUAGCUAGCUUAGUGUAGAGGAUUAAAAUAAAGUAAUACUGCUUAGUUGUUGUGCCCUUAAAGCUUGAUACAUAAAUGUAUUAGUCCAGUCUCAAUUAUUUGGGAGCUAGCUGGGUGAAAGAAAACUGCAAAACGCUUAUUAAAACGCCAUUAACAUCGGCUCUCAGAGGGUGGAGGCGACCUUCAUGGUCUGACUGUGGAAAGAAAGAAUGACAGCCACCUUCAGAUUCAAAGCCUUUCUGGAGACCUGCAGCAGGCGGGUGCCAGCUCUAGCCACGGAAGGGGAGCCACCAAGAUUAGGACGCACGGCAAGGUUGGCUUUACUUUGGAAGUUGUCAAAGGGGAUGAACGGUAAAAUAGUCUGGACAGAGGCUAAGUGUUCUAUAAAAUACUCUUAAUUUUAAGAGGAGCCGAAGCUAGAGUUAAAAUGGAAUUUCAUCUUUUUAAAGCUAUCGUAGGGGUGGAAAGAUGACUCAGACUAUUGGGAGUUUCUGUUCUUCCAGAGUACCCAGGUUUGGUUCCCAGCACCCUUGUUGGGUGACUAACAGCUACCUAUAAUUCCAGGGCAUCUGAUGCCCACUUCUGGCCUCCAUUCACAUCACACACGCACACGCACAUGCACACACAAAAAGAGAGACUUUAAAAAUAACAGUAAACCAUUUAUUAAGUGGUAAAAGUGAUCUCUAUCAGAAGUUGAGAAUGAGACAGAUCUGUUCAGAAGUCGUAGCCUGUGAGACACACCAUCUAACAAACAUAGAAAUGUAUUAAGAGUUACUUAGGCAUCAACAAGCCACCGUGAUUCCCAAAUUUAUCCCCGCCACACACACAUGCCACAUUAAUCCGUACAUGGUCAGCUAUGGGGAUGAAUUCAUUAAAUUACCAAGGCUUCCAGGUUCUCAGUUAAGAUAGAAAAGACAGCGGUGCCCGUGCAGCAGCUUCUGUGAGACUCUCACCCAUGGUUGGAGUGCGGGUGACUUGGGUCUCCCACACCCUUUUCUGGAAAGUGAAGAAACAGCUGUGGAUCAUCGUGGAGCCUCUUGUGGAAACACGCUGGACCAAGAACCAACAUUUCCCUCUAGAGCACUGGAUGAAACAGACUGAAGUACCUCAGGCUUUGUGAUGUCCAGGUGAUGAGAGAGGCAGGCUUCCUUCCUUUUUUAGAGACUCCGAAUCUCAGUCUCAACUGGGGACUGCUCUGGACCUGCAGGAACAGGAUCUCACUGUGUAGUCCUGGCUGGCCGGGGACUUUCUAUAUAGAGCAGGCUGGCCUCAGACUCACAGUGAUCUGCUUGCUUCUGCUUCUACAGUGCUCAGAUUAAAAGCAUUCUUCAC